rnacentral:rRNA from 1 species
CCUACGGGGGGCUGCAGUGAGGAAUAUUGGUCAAUGGACGAGAGUCUGAACCAGCCAAGUAGCGUGAAGGAUGACUGCCCUAUGGGUUGUAAACUUCUUUUAUAAGGGAAUAAAACGAGGCACGCGUGCCUUUUUGCAUGUACUUUAUGAAUAAGGAUAGGCUAACUCCGUGCCAGCAGCCGCGGUAAUACGGAGGAUCCGAGCGUUAUCCGGAUUUAUUGGGUUUAAAGGGAGCGUAGAUGGGUUGUUAAGUCAGGUGUGAAAGUUUGCGGCUCAACCGUAAAAUUGCAAUUGAUACUGGAAGUCUUGAGUACAGUUGAGGUAGGCGGAAUUCGUGGUGUAGCGGUGAAAUGCUUAGAUAUCACGAAGAACCCCGAUGGCGAAGGCAGCUUACUAAACUGUGACUGACAUUGAGGCUCGAAAGUGUGGGGAUCAAACAGGAUUAGAUACCCGGGUAGUC